rnacentral:lncRNA from 1 species
UUGCAAUGUCAGGCGAAAGCAUCCACACAUGAAUUUACGAAACAACAUAGUACUGUUAUUCAAAGAAUUCAUAACAAUAUUGGCAGACGCAGACAUCACAUCACUUGGCGCCGAUUCUGUCUUGCUGCCGCGCGCAAAAACCAGCCAACAACUACAAGCACAACCAUACCAGCAGCAGCCAUCAACUUCGGCACCGAACAAUAAUGCACACCUAAUUACGGCCGGAUAGCAACAGUGACAGACAGGGGCAAUAAUGGUGGUGUGGACGACAGCGACAUCAAGUGGUGGCAGGGGGGUCACCGGGGGACGCGGCGGCGGCAGCAGCAGCAGCAGCCCACACGAUGUCCUUGAGCGCCGGCCGGAGCUCGUCGCUGCAGAACGACCGGUACUCCAUCGUGUCGCCGCCGUCCUUCUUGACGUCGACCACCAGCACUGACGGCGCCACGCUGAAGAACUCCGCCGCCACCCCGAGCCGUCCCUUGCGCCCGCGCUCGGCGCCCUCCAGCCGCACCCCGCGCGCGCCGCUCUUCGUCACGCGCAUGGCCCCGCCGGUCGCCAGGCCCUCCAGCCGCGAGAUCACGCCGCUCGCCGGCUCCCGCGUCGCGAACCGCAUGACGCCGCCCCUCGUCCCGCGCCCCGUCGAAGGUUCCUGGUCGAACAGCGGCGACAGGUCGAAGCCCGCGGAGAGGGAG